UUGCAAGGAGAGUUAAGAAUAGCUCAGAAACUGGUCUCCUUCUUUUUGUGGGAAGAAUGACCAGAAGGAUAAAAGCUAAAUCCUCCAGCAAGUGCAAGACACCUCUUUCGGUGUUUGCAGUAAACCCAACAGCAUGAAUUUUUGUCGGCAAAGUACCGUGCCACGACACCUAAAAUGAAGGGAAUGGGCAAGCAAAGUAACGACUCAAAGGCUGCCACUGGGAGCUUUCAUCUACCUUUAACUCAUUGUGGCAAAGUUGGACAUUCCAAAGAUGGCGUAGAUGAACAUGACCAGGAAGAGCAGGAGGCCGAUGUUAAACAAUGCAGGGAGGGACAUCAUCAGAGCAAAGAGCAGCGUGCGGAUCCCCUUGGCCCCUUUGAUCAGACGGAGGAUUCGGCCAAUGCGGGCAAGACGGAUCACUCGGAACAGGAGUGUUUUAAUUCACCUUUCCUCUAGUUGAUAUGGAGUCUUUUUGUAAUGUUGAUAUUCAUCUGAUCUACUGAUGCCGGGCUUGAGAGACAGCCUUCAUGCCAGUUUCAAGAGCGGAUCCUUUAUAGCUCACUGAUGGAGGCUGAAUAUCAAGAGCACGUCAAGAACUCACCAGAAGAAGCUAAGAAAACACUGGGGACAGAGCUCUGAAUUAGAGAGGCUGCUCUGCAUAUCUCCUCAGGAGAUCUGUACAUCAUCAGAAACUUAUCCUCAUCAGUGUGUACUAUUGCUUCUGGAAUCAAAUUAAGCAUUUCAAGCAAGUAUAACUCAUUCACUCAAAGGCAGGGCCUAGUAAAUUAUUGAUUGAUGCAUUUUAUAUAUGAUCAAAAAAAUGAAAUGUUAAUUACUGAAUUGAUUAAAGAACUAAAGGCCUAAUUAUCACUGUGCUUAAAAUCAUUUCAAAAUGUACUCAAUGUUUGGCUUGGAAGCUGGGUAUUUUGGCUCUUUCUCCAUUUUUCCAGAUGUGUACUCAGAAAGCAGCUCAUGUGUAUGAGUCUGUUUCCUUAUCCAGAAAUACAAGGCUAGCACUAAAAUGGCCCUUUCCUGUUCUGAGAUUUUAUGCUUAUGCCUAAAAUAUUUCUCUGACAAAAAUUAUUUCUUAAUAGAGUUUUAAUUUACUGAGUUUAAAUGUGACAAUUUUUUUCCAGUUUUACUGAGAUAUAAUUGACAUAUAUAGUGGAAGGUGAAGAUGUAGAUUGUGACGAUUUGGUCUAUGUACAUAUUGUGAAAUGUUUACUCCAAUAAAGUUAGCUAACACAUCCUUCACCUCAUACAAUUCCCAUUUUGUUGCUGCUGUUGUUAUGGUGAGAAUAUUACAGCCCUACUCUUGUAGCAAUAAAUGUGACAAUGUGAUAUACAUUUGUACAUAGAUAGCUUAAAUUAGGGAGAGAAGUUGAUAGAGGUUUUCAAAUUAAAUGUUGCUUCAAAGACUUCUGUUGCAUUCCAUACCUUACUUUUAUAAUCCGUCCAAUAAAAAUCUAUAGAUCAUGCAUUUGAAUCACUGAAGGACAUGAGAGAUAUAUCAAAGAAGUCAUCAAGAGAAUAACAAAAAAUGAUGGAAUUGCCCCAGUGACAUGCUGUGAUGUCAAUUCAUCUAUGGAACAAUUGUAUAUGUUUCUACUUUCUUGCAAUGGAACAGGCAGAAAGAUUUUGUAGCUGAAGAGCAUGCAUGACACUGAAAAAAAAUAUCAUAUAUGUAUGAUUUUUUUUUAGGUAACCUGUGUAAAAGUGGUCACAUAUGUCUCUGCCUGGUUAAAAGCACAGAGCUGCAUCCUUGAUUGAUCCAGUUUGUUUUUACCCCUGUGAGAAGUAAGAAGGUUAGGGACUAAAGUUUAGAAAUGCAGCAUGAUGGAACAGUUUAGUCAACUGAUUUAAAAUGUUUAAAGUCACAUACCUGUAAGUAGAAAUUAGUUAUAUGCUUGACAAUACAUGCUACAUGCUCAAUACAAAGCAACACAUUUGAAACACAGUAAGAUUAAAUAUCAUUCAAUAUAGACUGAAAAAUAAUGAACUAUAAACAGCUAUAUAAUUCUGUUAUUUAAGAGAUGAAUUUAAGUACUAUAAUGUGCUAAGGCAAUCUUUUGCAUUCGGUUUGCUCUUCAUAAUAAACAUUUUUAAAUAAGUGAUUCUCAAUAUUGGAGUGGGGUGAGAGGAAGAAUGUGAAGUUUUUAAAAACAUAUUCUAAAAUCAGCAUUUCUUGAUUUACUUUUAAUCAUAUUUAUUUAAUUUUGACAUUUUAAACAGCAUUACAGGAAAGGGAUGUUUCCAAAUUUAUCAAAAUAUAAGAAUGAAAAAACAUUGAUUUAAAUAUAUCAGCCCAAAAUUUCAUUGUUUCUAGACACAUGAACAAAUCCAAUAAAGAUGAAAGAUUUUUCAUAUAGUUUGAAACCAACAUGCAAAACAGAAAUGGUUUAAGUAAAAUUCUAUAGGAGUGUUUUGUUUUGUUUUGUUUUGGUAAGAAUGCAGGCAUAAAAGAUAAGAGCAAGUGUCAGCUUCCCCCAAAGCUAUAUAGAACUAAUCCCUAAAUCUCACCAAGUCAAAUGAAUUCCUGGAAAAGACUAUUAUAUUUUCUAAAAUGCAAUAAGAAGAAGAAAUCUAAACUGCCUUCAACUGCUUUCUUUAGGGAAAAAAUCUUUCUAAAAACUCUAAAGAGAGAGAGACCUGAUAACAAUGUAAUUAAAACCACCAUAUAGUAAAAAGAGAUAAUAUAUUUAACCUUAAUGACUGCAAAUAUUUAAACUUUUUAUCAAAUCAAUAGAAUGAAUGCAUUUAAUAACAAGUAAGCACAUUUAAGUUUCUCCAAAGAUGAUAGCUUUCAAAACUGAAUACUGAAUAGAUACAUGAGCAGAUGGAUAAAUGAAUGAGUGAAUCAGGUGAACAAUAUGAAUGAUUGUUCCUCUGCCUGGGAUUUCCUUCUCCACCAUAUUCACCCAAGAAAAUGAUCUCCAUCCUUUAGGGUCUGGCUCAAGUGCCACCUCCUUUCAAGUACCUUCAGCCUGACAUAGUCUCUUACUCAAUGCAUCUUCAAUGGUUUAUUAUUCUGUUAUGGAAUGUGCUCUGUUCUGCUCUGUAUUAUAUUAUUGAGGUCAAUUACAGCCUAAUAAAUCAGCCUUAAGGAGGAUUAGAAGCUGAACCUGAAUCAGCAAAUGCACAAUACCAUUAUAACAGAAAAUUUGACCCUGAAUUGCAACGUUACGGGGCUAUAACAGAAAAUAAUUAUACUCCUACUCACUCUCUUGACUUUCUGUGAUUUGUAUUAUGGUGGUUAAAGCUUGGAGUUUGAAUUUUAAAAGACCCCUAAAAACAUCAGAGAUUAACGAGCAUCAUUUCUUAAUCUUUUAGUGUCUUAGUCAUCCAUGAAUAUAGAUUAAUAAUAUCUACUUUCCCAGGUUGUUAUAAGGAGGAAAGUUACAUAAUGUAUGAAAGUGGCUAAUGUACACAUUUUUUCCUUGGUCUCCUUGGUGCUUUCUUCUUUUGUGUCUACCGCUCAAGUGUUGAGUUGAUCACUUGUGCUCUUUCUUUCUAUGUUCCCUGCAGUGUAGUGGAUGCUGUGGUGCACUGCCCAGAUCCUCCUUUUAGGCAAGCCACUCAUUCCUCCAGGUGCCAGGAGUGUUGGCAGCUGAAGGCUCACAGCUGAGUCCCUCUCUGGAAAUUGUAACGCAGAAGAAAGCUGCCUCACCCAAGGUUUCCUCCCUCCCCUGGAAAAGUGGAGGGAGAGCCUGCAUCCAAUGACUACUUGGUGCAGGGUACAAAGUCCUGACCCCCUUGCUGCAGUUUGGGACUACUCCAAAGGGUCAUCCCAGUGCCAGAGAUGCUGUAGUAGUUUAGGCAUCUGUUGCAAUUGCAGAGAAUUUCAACUUCUUCCUCUGCCUAAUCGUCUUAUGUCCCUCACUUCUUAUUGGUGUUAGGUGUUGUUCCUGAGAACACUACCCAGUAGAUCUCCGAAACAUGGAUUUCUCUCUCAGAAUUGGUUUCCCAGGGACCCUGACCUCAGAUUGUCUCCCUGCAUAAUCCCAAAGUUAACAUAAAUUAACAUACAAAAUUCCAACCUGUCUACAACUCUGACUUCUCUUCUUAAGAACUACGUUUCCAAAUACCUACUGUUCAGCAUCACUUAGCAUUUCUGCAAGUAGCUCACAAUUAAGAUUUCCCCAAAUUAAACUGUAUCUCUCCUAAAGUUUCUCCUCCCCCUGUAUAUUUUUAAUAGCAUCAAUGUCUAUCCAGUCUUCUAAGCCAAAACCUUCUGUUAUGAGUCAAUUUGUAUCUCCCAAAAGGAUAUGUUGAAGUCCUAACUCCUUGUACCCUUGCAUACGACCUUAUUUGUAGAUGUAGUCAAGUUAAGAUGAGUUUAUUAGGGUGGGCCCUAAUCCAAUAUAAUUAAUGUCCUUAAGACGAGAAGGAAGAACAUCGUGUGAGGACAGAAGCAGAGAUCGGAGUGAUGCAGCUGCAAGACGUGGAAGGCCAAGAAUUCACCACCACCCCCAGAAGCUAGGAAAAGGCAAGGGAGGAUCCACUCUAGAGCCUUCAGUGUGAGCAUGGCCCUGCCGAGACCUCCGCUGCAGACUUCUAGCCUCUAGAACUGUCAGAGAAUAAAUUUCUGCUGUAUGAAGUCACCACAUUUGUGACACUUUGUUAUGGCAGCCACGGAAACUAACAUACCCUUUGAAACAGUUCCCAACUCAUAGAUCCACGCCCUGAGCCCUUAUAGUUUAACUUGCAAGUGUCUUAGAGUUUAUCCCCACCUGCCACCAUCACUCCCUUAGCUGAACACUCAUCAAUUGUCCUUUGGAUAAUUACAAUAGCUUCCCAGCCCCUCACCUUUCUCUCCUGCUGGCUUUUAUUACACCCCCAAAUAAACUUUCUUUAAAAGUACGUUUGCUAACAACAAAGUAUAGCAAAACGAGACCUUAAAGUUUCCUCUUUCUGUUACAUAAAAAGAAAUUUUAAUCUCUUGUCAUGGUACAUCAAGCCAUUCACUAUCUGGCUCCAAUCUACCUCCAUAACCUACUACUUCCCACCGAGAAUACAAAUCCUCACUUGUAUUUAAUGGGCCUUUUUUGCAUCUGGAUGCUUCCACAUGUGCUGGCCCUUUACCUCUACCUGAAAUCUCUCUCUCUCUCCUGAUGUGCCUGAUGAAUUCUUUUUGUACCAUAAAACCCACUUCCAGUGCCAUCUCCUCUGUGAAUUAUCCCAAUUUAUUUUCAAGAUCACUUACACUAUCCCUAUCUUGCCUCAAUAUUUUGUCUAAAACUCUGUUUUAAUUGUUUUUAUGCGUUUAAUUAUAAUUUCUGGUUUCUAUAUGUGUUUCUUCUUGAAGGCAGGAAUGUUGCUUUACUCUUUAUCACUUAGGCCAGCGCCAGAGACAAAGAAGACCUUCAGCCUAUGUUUACUAAAGAAAUGAGCACACCGAUGACAUGCCUUUCUAGGGUUUAGCAGGCGUAUGGUAAUAAGCAGUUGCUCAAUAAAUCUGAGCUAAAAAAAUGAAUAGUGAUGAUUUAUAGAACAUGUACUCAGACGUAUUUCUUUGCAAUUUUUCCUCCCACAAUGAUGAAAGUGAGGGCUUUAUAUGGCCCUCGCUUCCUCAAGGAACAGGAAGUUUUGCAUAAAUGUGUUUGCAGUGUUUUAAAGGACAAUCUCUUGAGGGUGGGAAGUUUGAUUACGUAAAAUUUGAAGGUUUCAUUGAUUUCCUUUCUCCAAGGACCUCAGCUAGCUCCAUCACAACUUUGAUACAACAUUUCAAAACACUAAAGAAGUAUUAGGUAAAGCUAAGUAUUUGCAUUUGGCUUGAAGAGGAAUAAAUGGAGGAUCUUUCCGUGAGGAAAUUUUUACACAGCAUGUUUUCCCCUCUGCUGAGUACCCAGGAUGAGCAAAUUCACUUAAGCCAGGCUUGCUAAGUAGAUACAUUUGUCAAAAGAGCAGUAAAGAGGAUUUGGGAUAUUAGACUCACAGCGAGGAAAGGAGCUUUUCUGAAAACUCUAAGAGUUUAUACUACUUUAAAAUCAUAUGAAGCUGUUAUGUUUUUAAAUAUUUGGAAAAAUAAACUGGAUAAAUUUAAUGUUUUUCUCUGAAAUUUGCAUACACUUCCAAAAUGAAUGUUACAAUUCUGUGAAAUGGCUCUAUGUCUAUCUUUUCAUCUUUAGAGAAGGAAGUAAUCUGUAACAACUGAAAACAAACGGAAUGUCUUUAUAACUCGCUAAGAAAGAGCUCUCUAGUUUUAAAAAUUAAUUAUGAAUUUAGUUUUCUAGAGCCCUCAAUUUUGAAACUUGGCAUGACUGAACAAAAAACCACACUUCUUAAGAAUUUAGUUAAGCUGGAUGCCAAUCACAUUAAAUUAUUGCAGCUGGGUGAAGCAAUUUUUUUUUUCCCUAAGCAACCGUUAGCACAGUGCCUGAAGCACAGUAGAUCUCAAUAAAUAUUUAUUGAAUGAAUGGGUGCAUUGCAUGCUUCGUUUGAGGCUCAUAAUAAUAAAGGGCUUCCUUGCUAAUGGUCAAAAUCUGCACAGUGUGUUGUUAAUGUUUUCUGUGUGCUUAGAGCUGUGUUGCACUCCAGGAGGAAGCUGAUUCUGAGAGCCGCCAUCAGUUCUGUGUCUGUGUUCUGAGAAGCAGUGACAGGAGUCUUAUUCUUAUGGGUCCACUUGAGAUUACAGCAUGUCUUUCUUGGCUCCGAGACAGGCUCUGUCUUCAGAGAAAUGCUGAUGUUCUAUUGACAAUUAUUUUCUCAGAACUGUUUAUGAUAUUUUAUUCAACACUUUAUUUGAACUCAUUUCUGGUCAUUUUCUGGUAAGGUGUUUAUUAUACAAUAUUUUGAUUUCACUCUGGAGUGUAUAUUUAACAGCCUAUCAAGACAGGGAAAGCUGUCUAUCUGAGAGCUGAUACGAGAAGAGGACAAAAACAUUUCCAUAAAAUAUAAUGGAAAAUAGGAUGGUAGGCCAUAAAAGAGAGGGGUUUUUUUUGGAUGGGGAGGAGGCAAGGGAGAGAGGUGUCAUAGGUCAAAGACGUUCUUUUGUCCUGUUCAAAAUGCAGAUUCUCAAGUAGGCAAAAGGGAGAAAUAUCCCCAGUUCCUGAAUAAAUAAUAUCUCAGAAACCUGGAUCAAAACAAGUUGGGAUGAAUUUAGCUUCAUUUUCCAUGCGAACUCAAUCCAUCACAGUGGACACUGGGAACACUGCCAAUAAGGACUCUGACGUUACAUUCAGAUUUAGGCAGAGAGAAUUCAGAGGAUAUGGCCCAGAACAAGCAUUUGUAACAAGCUCCCUAAGUGUGUCUUUACACACUAAAAUUGUGAACCACUGAUCUACAUCACGCUGCCUCUCUUAAAUUUAACCUGUAGCAAAUGGCUACAGUGUGUACAUGACAACUCAAUUCCAUACCCACAAUAACUGUUAAUUGGGCACUUACUUUCCCACAGGCAUUUGUCUAAUUAUUUACCUAAAUCAUUUAAUCUUAAUUACAAUUCUAUUUUGGAAUUGUUAGGAAACUGAAAAAAAAAAGGGUUUUGUAAAUUGCUCAAGAUCAUAGAGUUAGUAAAAAUCAAAGCUAGGAUUUAAGACAAAUAUUCUGUCUUCAGAGGCUUUAUUCUUAACCAUACCCCAGGGUAGUGCAUAAGACGUAAAUAACCUAAAUGUAUUGAAUCAGGCAUUCCUUUCCAUUGGGUAACCAAGAUCUGCCUCUUCGAGCAAGGUUCAUCAAGAACAUGCAACCACUAUUUUAAAGAUAUCCCAGGCAUGAAAACAUAAGAAAGUUACCAAGGGGGGAAUAAGCAGUUGAAAAAUCUGGGAACUUGUGUGGGAGCUGAAGAUUAGGGGAAUUAGAGCAGGGAGGUUAGCCUGGAAGGAUCAUAGAAACACUUUAGAUAAGUAAAAUCUGCAUUUUUUCAGUGGUCCCAAUUGAAAAACAAACCAAAAAUAAGUCAUACCUAGGAACAUUUACAUCUCCAGUAGCUAGAAAGAAAGACUCCAGACAUAGAGUUGGUGACAGCUUAAUAUUAUCUCUAAGUUACCUACCAAAUUUCCUACAGAUCUUGAACUCUCAUUAUUUCUCAAGUCCAGUAGAUAGUCAAGUAGGUUUGAAUGUAUCCAAGAUGAUACUCUUUGAGAUAGGUCAUGGAAAAUUUCUUAUGAAGAAGGGCAAAUUUUCAAAGCCCAUAAUUUUAAAAAGUCUGAACAUUUAAAUGAAAAUGAUGAUGAAUUCAAUCAUAAACAAAAUAGCUAAUUUUGGAGGGGCUUACCAACUCAGAUACUGUGCUAAAUGAUUUAAAGAGAUUAGUUUAUGUACUCUGUAUUAUAACCUAUGAGGUAGCCCCAAGCUCCUGUAUAUUAUACCAUGUAAACUACAGAUAGGAAAUAGAAAAAAGUAUGUUUUUUCUCAUGUAGUUAUGACUAUAAUGUCAUUAAAAAAAAACCUUGAUGAUAACAAGACUAUUAGAAUGUUACCAUCAAAUGGUCUUUAUAUAACACAGUUUAAAGGCACUAAAUUUCAUGCAUUUUAGGAAGAGUUUAUGGGAUAGGUAGAGGAGUAACUUUAUGGAUGGUUAAAAUGGCUAUUUCAGUAACCAGUCUACAAACGAAAUCAGUAAUUAUAAAAGACAGCUGGCCACUGUGACGUCACAAACCUCCUCUGGACGCCACAGGGUCCAUAAACUCUUCAGAAGCAUGACUCAGACUCCAGGGGAGACAAACUGGGUAUUAUCUCCAAUAGGAAUGUGGGCUUAUCCCUGAAAUGGACAAAGACAGGGGAAGGGAGGUGGAAAUAGGACUGACGUAUGAAUCACAAGACUGGGACUCUUGUCAUGGCUCUGCCUUGAACUAGAUUUACAACUGUGGACAACACCUCUUCCUCUUACUGAGCUGGCUUUCUCAGUUAGAAAAUGAGGUGUUAAAUGGGCAGAUCCAUAAGAUUCCUUUUAAAAUGUUAUAAUUCAACAUACUCAGAAUAAGAAUUUUGCUAGCAACUAAGGAGAUCCACGUAAAGUUUAGCUACAGGCUUUGAGCAAAGGAAAAAUAACCAGAUAAGAAAGGAUCCUCCCAAAUAUUAAGACAAGCGGUGUUUGGUAAACUCUGCCAAACUACAAGGGCCUUAAUACCUAGAAUCCCAAGCUUAUUCAGAAAGUUUGCCAGGCAAUUAGGGUUUAUAAUUCUAAUCUUCAUUGGCAGAAAAAUGGGUAAUUGAGUUAGUUUGCCUUUCCACAUGAAACAAGACCCUGAUUACUGCUCCUGAAAAUGGAGAUGGAAUCAAAUUUCCUACAUCCAAGCUAAAACAACCACAGCUUGCGAAUUUGGGAGAUAUUACUUCUUCCAUGUAAAGGUUUUCAAAAUAAAAAAUAAAACAUUUAAUUCCUUACAUAUCAUCUUGGAAAGAAUUUCUUUGGCUACUUAGAAAUAUAUAUUCAUAAUUUAUUUGACCAUCUAUUCACUCAAUAAGUAUUGAGCAUUUAAUAAGUGCCUAGUACCACUUAUACGGUCAGUACACACACACACACACACACAGACGUCUGUGUAUCUUUAUUCCAAAGUCCACUAUAAAUUCAUGGAGAGCAGAUCUUAAUAUAGAGUUAAGCAUAUAGAAGGUGUUUGAUAAAUACCUGUCAAAUAUGACCUAAAGAAUAGAAAAAUAGAGAUGUCAUAAAAAUGAUUUGUCAUAUAACUCACAUAUGGUUAUUAUACUCCACAUUAAUAAAAAUACAGUUCAAUACAUACUUUGAAUAUAUGCAACCAGGUAUGGGGGAGGAGAACACAAAAAAGUUUUAAUAAAAGGUUCCUGCUCUCAAUGAGUUUAUAAUACUCUGAUACAUAUAAUAAUUUCUCAAAAAAUUUAAAAUACAAGACUAAAUAAUAAAUCCAAGAAGAGGCAUAAAGUUGUGUGGGGUUCAAAAUGAGGAGA